rnacentral:sRNA from 2 species
GGGGGCAGGGAGGUUCGACUCGAGCGAAGCGAGAGAACGUUGCGCCAGCAACGGCCCGCAGGGCGAGCCACGAAGUGGCGAGUAAUCCUCUAUCACCGACCA